UGUAUGGGUAACAUUAUGUUUUCUACCAGUCUAAUGACUGGUUUGAAAAGAAUGGAGUAAUGAGAAGACAAAGCAAUAAUAUAUAUUGUAUAAAGAUAAUUAUUGGUCAAUCAAGAGGAAAAACAGAAACUCCAGCAGCACCAGGGCCUUAAACCAGAUUGUAACCAAUGAUCUUAACAUAAACCAAGCAGCAUUUUGUUUUCCCAAAAACAUUAUUCCUCAUGCAAACAAUUGCAAAUGUUGCUACUCCCUCCCCAUUUCUACCAUUUGUAUGUAGAAAAAGAAGAAGAACAGGAGCUGGUAACUGCCUAAAAAUACAAAUUGGACUCACUACAGUUUUAUAUGCAGGAAUCAUCCUUCCCUCCUGCAGAGGUUUUGGCGAACCAUAAGAGGCUAUACACGGUGGGAAUGAUUAAGGCGCUGUUUGAAAGCUCAGCCCAUUUGAACUCUGUUCCCUACCGUUCCUUUUCUGAAUCAUCAUCUUAUGAGCACAGCUAACGUUCCUUAUCUCCCUUACACCUGCCCUCAUUUUUGCUUGCUCCCCUCCACCACCACCACCACCAUCUCUCUCUCUCUCCAUUUUUCUUUACAGUCCCAGAUUAUAUUUCAAGGGACGAUGAGGUAAUUGUGUUUCUAACCCCAUUGAAGUUAAAACUGCACAAGGGAGGAAGCAAUCUCUUCGGAAAAGGUGAUUUGUGCCAGAACGGAUGAUCAAGUGUGUGUGUGUAUGGAGUGGGUGGUUGGUUUUGACAGUGGGGGGGGGGAGUGCACUCAAACAUGAUGCAAAAGCCUCCUGUUGAGGUAAAUCCAAAAAUAAAGGGAUGCAUAUGUUUGAUCUUUGGAAGGUUCAAAAGGGAAAAAAAUGAUGCAUGAUGCAACUAAUGCCAUAAUAGGUCCUUCCUGGUUUUAUUUUCUAACUGAAACGUGUCUUUUUUAAUCAGUGGUGGUAAUGUCACAUGUGAUGAAUGGUUACAAUAAGAAUCACUCUCUACAUUCAACUAAA
rnacentral:lncRNA from 1 species